UUGAAAGCUUUCUGUUGAUUUAGUCUCUCCUUUGUUUCUCGCCCAGGUGAAAACUCUGGGGACAUCUGAUCCACUUCUUCACUCUAGGAGAUAAUGCCUGACUUUCACCCAUAUAAGACAUCUUGACUCAUAUGGGUGCUUUGGGAUACUUAACAAAGAAAUCCAGUCAUUUUAUCACUCAUUAUUCUGAAGCUAUUCAAUUAUUCCCUUUCAGAAAUGCACAUUUCCCUGGCAUUAUUUUAAUAGGUAAUAAUAAGGAACAUGGUUGAUGCUUAUUCUCCAAUAUUUGAGAGUACUACAAAUCUCUCCCAAACACACAUUUUCUUGGAGUUUCACAAGAGCUCUUUUAAGGUAGCCCAAGAGUUUUAAAAACCAACUGGUAAGGAUGCCAGCAGUGUACGAACUUAAAGAAUUGCUUCUCUGUAUUGCCUGACAUUUAAAAAUGAGUUUAGAAAAGUUAAAAAGAAAAAAAGAAAGAAAAGAAAAAUCUCCAGUUGAAACAAAGAAGAGGCACUCUAGACUAAAUAAGGCUCCAGACCUGUGUUUCUGCAGACCCCAGAGCUGGUGCUGGAUCUCUACCUGCUGGUCCUGGAAUGAAUUGGAGUACCCCUGGACACUGACGCUGGACAUUACGCAUAUCUCCGUUUCUUCACGAGGUUAUGACUGUCUUGGUGUUGAAUUAACCCUUGGUCGUUCGCAGAAUGUAAAAGCAUUUACAAGACUCUACAAGAGAAUCCAGAGAAAAGAUUCAUUGAAAGUUAAAAGGGAGACAGUUCUGUUUGAAACUGGCAGAAGUUUAGCCAGAGCAGUCUGAGAGGGAGAGCUGUGGAGACAGAGGAGUAAGAGAGAGAUACUGGCAGGAGUUGGGCCAGGGCAGAGUCCUGUGGGGGACAGCUGCACCGAUGAGAAGGAGUGCUGGGGUUUAUAUUUUUCCAAGCAGGAUGUAGGGUGCUUGCCAGCUUGCAGG